GUGGGGAAUCUUGCGCAAUGGGCGAAAGCCUGACGCAGCCAUGCCGCGUGAAUGAUGAAGGUCUUAGGAUUGUAAAAUUCUUUCACCGGGGACGAUAAUGACGGUACCCGGAGAAGAAGCCCCGGCUAACUUCGUGCCAGCAGCCGCGGUAAUACGAAGGGGGCUAGCGUUGCUCGGAAUUACUGGGCGUAAAGGGCGCGUAGGCGGACAGUUUAGUCAGAGGUGAAAGCCCAGGGCUCAACCUUGGAAUUGCCUUUGAUACUGGCUGUCUUGAGUACGGGAGAGGUGAGUGGAACUCCGAGUGUAGAGGUGAAAUUCGUAGAUAUUCGGAAGACCACCAGUGGCGAAGGCGACUCACUGGCCCGUUACUGACGCUGAGGCGCGAAAGCGUGGGGAGCAAACAGGAUUAGAUACCCUUGUAGUCC
rnacentral:rRNA from 1 species